rnacentral:rRNA from 1 species
CGGUAAUUCCAGCUCCAAUAGCGUAUACUAAAGUUGUUGCAGUUAAAAAGCUCGUAGUUGGAUUUCUGUGGGGACGGGGCGGCCGGCCGCAACUCGCGGUUCGAGCUAGCACUUUCCCUACAUCCUGCCGCGAACCGUGCUACCAUUAGUUUGGUGGCGCUGGGGAUCGGCUCGAUUACUUUGAGAAAAAUAGAGUGUUCAAAGCAGGCCACACGCCUUGAAUAAGUUAGCAUGGAAUAAUAACUAAGGACUUCGGUUCUAUUUUGUUGGUGUUCGGGACUGAAGUAAUGAUUGAUAGGGACAGUUGGGGCGGUCUGUAUUCCAAAGCGAGAGGUGAAAUUCUUAGACCUUCGGAAGACAAACAGCUGCGAAAGCGUUCCGCAAGGAUGUUCCCUUUGAUCAAGAACGAAAGUUGGGGGAUCGAAGACGAUCAGAUACCGUCGUAGUCUCAACUAUAAACUAUACCAGCUAGGGAUCGGCCAACGUUAUUUCAAACCGACUUGGUCGGCACCUUAUGAGAAAUCAAAGCAUCUGGGUUCCGGGGGGAGUAUGGUCGCAAGGCUGAAACUUAAAGGAAUUGACGGAAGGGCACCACCAGCCGUGGAGCCUGUGGCUUAAUUUGACUCAACACGGGAAAACUUACCAGGUCCAGACAUAGUAAGGAUUGACAGAUUGAUAGCUCUUUCUUGAUUCUGUGGGUGGUGGUGCAUGGCCGUUCUUAGUUGGUGGAGUGAUUUGUCUGGUUAAUUCCGUUAACGAACGAGACCCCAGCCUGCUAAAUAGCGCGCGUGAGCUUUGCUCGCGGCGAGCUUCUUAGAGGGACUAUGAUGCGCGAUAGCACAUGGAAGUUUGGGGCAAUAACAGGUCUGUGAUGCCCUUAGAUGUUCUGGGCCGCACACGGGCUACACUGGCGCCUGCAUCGAGCAUAUCAGCUGGCCCGAGAGGGUCUUGGCUAAUCUUUUGAACCGGCGCCGUGCUUGGGAUUGACCUUUGCAAUUGUUGGUCAUGCAACGAGGAAUGCCUUGUAAACGCGAGUCAUCAGCUCGCAUUGAAUACGUCCCUGCCCUUUGUACACACCGCCC